UUCAAUGAUGAUAACUGGAAGUGCCGUCUGAUGCGAUAACUGGCGAUGGUUAAAAGCUGGUCUGAGA